rnacentral:rRNA from 1 species
GACGAACGCUGGCGGCAUGCCUAAUACAUGCAAGUCGAGCGAACAGAUGAAGUGCUUGCACUUCUGACGUUAGCGGCGAACGGGCGAGUAACACGUAAGGAAUCUACCUAUAAGCGGGGGAUAACAUUCGGAAACGGGUGCUAAUACCGCAUAAUAUCUUCUUCCGCAUGGAAGAAGAUUGAAAGACGGCUCUGCUGUCACUUAUAGAUGACCUUGCGGUGCAUUAGUUAGUUGGUGGGGUAACGGCCUACCAAGACGAGGAUGCAUAGCCGACCUGAGAGGGUGAUCGGCCACAUUGGGACUGAGACACGGCCCAAACUCCUACGGGAGGCAGCAGUAGGGAAUCUUCCGCAAUGGGCGAAAGCCUGACGGAGCAAUGCCGCGUGAGUGAAGAAGGCCUUCGGGUCGCAAAACUCCGUUAUAAGAGAAGAACAAAUUGUAGAGUAACUGCUACAGUCUUGACGGUAUCUUAUCAGAAAGCCACGGCUAACUACGUGCCAGCAGCCGCGGUAA